CAAAGGUGGACUAUCUUUCUGUUGCAACGUAACUAUACGCUAGGGUACGGGAACAAAAUCAGAAAUGCUGGAAGAGCUCAGCCAGUCAAGCAGCAUCUGCAGAAAGAGAAACUACAGUUAAUGUUCAGAUGCUGCUUGAUUGCGUUUUUCUUGCAGAUCCCAGCAUCUACAGGUUUUUUUCCCAAUCAGGCACAGGAGUUGCAAGCAGAGCUUCAUCGUGGAUGCUUUGUCACAUCUACUACUUCCACAAUCACACGUGAAAUUUGAAAUUAAGUGAAGAUGUGAUCCACAUUACACGUUCUCAUAGAGACCAUUCAGCCCAUAAACAUCAUGCCAGCUCUCAGAAGAAUCCCAUCAGUCCUAUUCCACCACUCUUUUCUUUUGCAUGCCCUCCUGCAUGUCUGUCAACUCCUCAUGAUUCUCCUGCCACCCAUCUACACCAGGGGCAGGUUACAGUAGCCAAUAAACCUACCAGCAGGCCUUUGGGAUGUGAAAGGAGACAGGAACAUCCAGGAGAAACCCACCUGGUCACAGGGAGAAUGUUCACAUUCUACACAGACAGCACUAGGUCACUGGAUAAGUGAGGCUGUGUUGUUCUGUGAGUUAUUAACAAAGGUUGUAAGUCAUUUUCUUUUGGUCAGCUUCUGUUGCUAAGUAAUUAGUGAAUGCUAUGCACAUUGAUGGUGUCAUCUUGUGUGGAACACGCUGGGGAAGUGGCUUCUGUACAAGGUUGAAGGGCAAUGGGAAGUGCCCUGUCCAAUUCCACAAUGUGAGGCUUUGGCGCAAAAUUGCAUAAGCACUUCAAAUUGUGUCCAAAAUCAUCUCGUACCAUUUACUCAUAAAUAAAGGGAAUAAUAGUUGAAACAAUUGUGGAAGAGAUAAUUGUUGAGAGUACUGACUGAGCCCCAAAUACUCGUGCAGUUCAAAUGAUUGCUGUUGGAGGUUUGGGGGUGAAGUUGUGUCCAAGUCGGAUCAAGAAUAAACUGCAGGAAGUGAAAUCCUGAACAUAAGCAACUGGGGAAAAAGAAAUAGAACUUGAUUUGAGUUAACACACAGAAAUAAACAGUACAAAAGUGGAGACAACACCAAAACUUGCAGGAAGAACCGGAGCACUCUGAAAACUGGUUUUGUGAUAGGUAUUCACUUUCCAGACCCCAAAACGGGUUUGUUGCUAACCUGUUUUUUUUAGCAGAGCAGCGUGACCUGUCCAAAGGUCAAGAAGUGGUUGCUCAUUAAGCUAAAAUCCCUUUUGCAAAAACAGCAGAAAUUGUCCAAGGCUCAAGAUGUUUGUUGUUUGCUAAAGUAAACUUCUGACCAAUGCUCCCUGCUCAGCCUCUUAACAUAAACAGGAGAACAAGGGGAUCCACCAUUGCUUCAUUAAACACUCCAGUCAGCUACCUGAAAAUGUGGUUGGAAAAAACAUCACAUGCCAAUGAUAUCAAUGAAGUGAAAAAGCAGUAUAAAUGUUAGAAAGCUGUCAGGGUCGGGGGAAUGACAGAGAGAAGGGGUUACAGAAAGAAGAGCUAGAAUUUAUUCCUCAGCCUUUGGUUUUUGUGACGGACGACUUGUUUGUAUGCAACUUGUUGGUUUUUAGCCUGUAAGAAUUGUACAUGUAACUUACCAAGGAUUUCCAAACACAAGUUGUCGUUAAGAAUUACUUAUU